rnacentral:rRNA from 1 species
GACGAACGCUGGCGGCGUGCCUAAUACAUGCAAGUAGAACGCUGAAGGAGGAGCUUGCUUCUCUGGAUGAGUUGCGAACGGGUGAGUAACGCGUAGGUAACCUGCCUGGUAGCGGGGGAUAACUAUUGGAAACGAUAGCUAAUACCGCAUAAUAUUGACUAUUGCAUGAUAGUCAGUUGAAAGGUGCAACUGCACCACUACCAGAUGGACCUGCGUUGUAUUAGCUAGUUGGUGGGGUAACGGCUCACCAAGGCGACGAUACAUAGCCGACCUGAGAGGGUGAUCGGCCACACUGGGACUGAGACACGGCCCAGACUCCUACGGGAGGCAGCAGUAGGGAAUCUUCGGCAAUGGACGGAAGUCUGACCGAGCAACGCCGCGUGAGUGAAGAAGGUUUUCGGAUCGUAAAGCUCUGUUGUAAGAGAAGAACGAGUGUGAGAGUGGAAAGCUCACACUGUGACGGUAGCUUACCAGAAAGAGACGGCUAACUACGUG